CAGUCGCCGCGGUAAUACGUAGGGGGCGAGCGUUGUCCGAAGUCACUGGGCGUAAAGCGCGCGUAGGCGGCUUCUUAAGUCUGAGGUGAAAGGUUCAACGCUUAACGUGAACAGUGCCUUGGAUACUGGGGAGCUUGAGUAUGGGAGAGGGCAGUGGAAUGGCUGGUGUAGCGGUGAAAUGCGUAGAUAUCAGUCGGAACACCCAUGGCGAAGGCAGCUGCCUGGCCUAAUACUGACGCUGAGGUGCGAAAGCGUGGGGAGCGAACGGGAUUAGAUACCCCUGUAGUCCCUGUCUCUUAUA
rnacentral:rRNA from 1 species